GACGAACGCUGGCGGCGUGCUUAACACAUGCAAGUCGAACGGAAAGGCCCUGCUUUUGUGGGGUGCUCGAGUGGCGAACGGGUGAGUAACACGUGAGUAACCUGCCCUUGACUUUGGGAUAACUUCAGGAAACUGGGGCUAAUACCGGAUAGGAGCUCCUGCUGCACGGUGGGGGUUGGAAAGUUUCGGCGGUUUGGGAUGGACUCGCGGCUUAUCAGCUUGUUGGUGGGGUAGUGGCUUACCAAGGCUUUGACGGGUAGCCGGCCUGAGAGGGUGGCCGGCCACAUUGGGCCUGAGAUACGGCCCAGACUCCUACGGGAGGCAGCAGUGGGGAAUAUUGCACAAUGGGCGGAAGCCUGAUGCAGCAACGCCGCGUGCGGGAUGACGGCCUUCGGGUUGUAAACCGCUUUCGCCUGUGACGAAGCGUGAGUGACGGUAAUGGGUAAAGAAGCACCGGCUAACUACGUG
rnacentral:rRNA from 1 species